rfam:Catenulispora acidiphila DSM 44928, complete genome.
CUCGGACUCCCAUGCGGCGUCAUCACACUCAACUCCCCCAGGGCUUGACGGCAGCAAGGGUCGGUGUGCUCUGGCGGGUGCAUGGGAGUUCUUUUUU